UCUCCGUACUAAAGAAAACCUGCCUCCCUAUGCCUUUAUUCGCACACCCAUCAUCUCUCCUCGCCAAAAAGCACAGAACGGACAGAUGAAAAUACACGGCAAAAUAUUUAGUAUCAUCACUGGAGUGUACGCUGCUGUCAAGGGCUCUCAACAACAUGGAGAUAUAUAAUAUUCCUGCGAUAUGGCAUAAUCCUUUCAUCAGUGUGCAUUUCUUUCAGAAAAAUGAAUUAAUCGGCGUUGUCGGCAGAAAGAAAUAACCCUAUCCGGCAAGUAACGUUAACUCCCUCGUUCUAUAUGGAUAUUAUGAAACAACUAACUGUAUUUCACACAGAUGACACAUUUACAGUUCUUCCGAGAUAGACAGUCAGCUGAAGUGAACACAACAAAGAUGAAUCCCUUAUAGAGGAGCUCCCUAGCUUGCAAAGGAUCAAGGCGCAGAGAUAUUCCACAUACUAGAGAUGCUUCCAAUACAAUCUCAACUCUUGGCCAGAUCGCAAUACCACAAAAUAGGCUUUAUUUUCAUCGACAUGCACAUCUCAGCUCCUCCCAGCAGACUCGAGUAUUGGGAUGAUGAUGCUGUGUAAUGGGACCCACAGCAUCCAUGGACAGCAUCUUGCUCAGUGUCUCCAGAUAGGAAGCUGGCAGGACAUGUGUGACUUUGUGGCCGAGAUGCAUCUUUUAAUCGCUUACUCUUAUUAUUAACAGACAACAUUAUAACACCUAUUUAUACAUCGAAAGAGUGACUUCAAACAUGAUUAAAGCCAUAUUGCAUGUCUAUACACUUUCUUAAGCACGAAUAGGUACAUUUUAAAAUCUUUUAUCAUUGGUUACUAUUUUUAUGAAAAUUUUUGAAUCCAUCAUGUUUGCGGACUUAAUGGGAAGUGUUAUUGAAUAUUGUGUGGUAAGCUUUCUAGAGGUGAUUUAUGAAUCAAGGCUGGAAUAACUAGAAAUUUGUUGAAUAUUUACAAAAGUUUGGCAGAUAAUAUUUCCUAUUAACCUUUUGAUGAGUAAAUUAUUGAUGAGAGCACAUCAUGGCACAUUAGUCUCAUGGCAACUGCUGUUUAUGGGGUCCAAUUAACAUGCAGGUGUUCUCCCUAUUUAUUUAAUCUGUGAUUGGAGUAUAUCUUGUUAAUUGCACUUAUUGUAAUACAGUCCAUUCUUAAAGAAAUAUCAGAUUUGUUUAUUG
ensembl:lncRNA